GACUUAGUACCCAUUCCUGUCCGUUCUACGCAAGCAAAGAUCGAUUAGUACGAAUCGACGUGCAAGUUUGCAUCUCCAUCAUGGGCUUUUUGAGGCUACAUGUUUGGUACAACUUGCGAGUAUCCUCUGGUGAUUCUUUCGUCGAAGUUGCACCUGUGUUCGCAUGUCCUCACCUCGAUCUGAUACCUCUGAUUCACAUGGCUGGAAAUUAUACUAGAUGUUUCAAAUGCAAUACUGAUGCUUGGCGACAACCAGAAGGGCAGGAAGACCCUAGUUUAGUGACUUUCUCUAUGUUCCGGUCUCUUGGGUGGUCCCAUCGAGCAGAGAAUCGGCUUUAUUGGCGUUAUUUCUGGUCUGAUUCAAGUUAUAUGCAGGGAAACAGGAGCCACACGCAGUAGGAUCCUGCCAGUUCAAAAUUGCACUAGAUAUUGCCUUCUAAGUUCAUUCUAGAUCUCCACCACAAGAUUUGAGAAACGGAUCGAAAAUCUGGCAUGGUCAGCAUGAGGAUUACCCAGCAUUAGUCAUGGGUAAUUGUGGACCUGUCUUCCUAUCUGCAAACUUGUGUGAUUUGUAGUCUACGUUACAAACCAGUCUGUCGUGCCCGGUGUUUGUGAUCGUUUGUUAUUGUACCUCGCUCUAUGGAGGUUGGCUUAUGGAUACGGGGUGGGUGAAGUCUUCGCUAGAUAAAGAGUAGAUGGGCUUGCAUAUCAUCCUACAUUUGUUCUAGUUACCUGUUGAGGUUAGGGUUAUCACCAAAACAAUUUAUUACUGCCCAUGGAGUCCAUUUGGGACAGGGUUGAUUUCGACAAAUUACCAGAAAGAGCAAAAGCCACCUUGUCUAAGUACCGUCUAAGUACCGUCUGAGUAUCAUCACGCUGUGCGGCGUUACCCCCAUGAUAAGCCCGAGGGUGCUACAGUGGGGGAGCUUAAUUAAAAGUUAGGG
rnacentral:lncRNA from 1 species